UCGGUUGUACAGGUUACUUCCGCGGGGUUCAAGCACUUGUGGUGGAUACACUACAACAAAAAUCUAUAUUGGCUACGACCCGUACUUAGGGCGUCAGUCGUAGCAAAUGAAUGUAUGGAAAUUAGCUUGUGCACAAUGUUAUUGCCCGCCGAAUUUAGAGAGACACUCAUGAAAAGGAGAAAGGACGAGAGAGGGAGUUAGAAAGUCUAGGGUUGCAGAGCAAUUUCGCAAGAGCGAGAGAGGACAAAGGAGGUCUUCUUCCCCAUUUCACAGGCUCGUUGUCAUCCUUUCGCGGUCCUCCAUCUCCAAGUCCAGAAGGCUGAUUGGACAUCUCUUAGAUGCAAAAGGAGGUAAAUUUACAAACAAUAUUGAGAGGCUAAAGGACGAUUCCGUACUAAUUCUCGCAUUCUUGACUGAAUGUAUAAGCCCACUGUUCAACUCUUAUUCCAUUCUGAUUUCCUUCCAAAUUUGGUAGUUAUAUGGAUCAGUUCAUUUUUUGAAGCCAAAUUUCUAUCUCUGCACAUUCAAUGGAAGAGGUGGAGAUUCUAUGUGAUCGACUGGGUAUUUUUGUAGAUGGGUCAUUCCAAUGCAUAGGAAACUCAAAGGAGGUUAAAGGUGUUAAUUGGAUGGAACUCAUCGAAAGUUCCAGUUUAAUAACUUGAUUGCCAAUGUUUGCAAGGAAUCUUAAACCUGAAUUGAGGAUUUGAUGUUAAAGGUUACCAAAAGGCUCACAGCAUUGGAAAUUUCCUUUGCUUUCUCUUGCCCGUCAUCUAUCUUACUCAGAUAUGUAAAAGUUUAUACAUGUCAACAUUUUCGAUGAAAUAUUUAAACAUUUCUCUCUCA